rnacentral:rRNA from 1 species
UACGUAGGUGGCAAGCGUUGUCCGGAUUUAUUGGGCGUAAAGCGCGCGCAGGUGGUGCGGUAAGUCUGCCGUGAAAUCUCCCGGCUCAACUGGGAGGGGGCGGUGGAGACUGCCGGACUGGAGGGACUCAGAGGCCGGUGGAAUUCCCGGUGUAGUGGUGAAAUGCGUAGAGAUCGGGAGGAACACCAGUGGCGAAGGCGGCCGGCUGGGGGUGCCCUGACGCUGAGGCGCGAAAGCGUGGGGAGCGAACCGG